AGUGAACGCUGGCGGCGUGCUUAACACAUGCAAGUCGAACGAGAACGGAUUAUAGCUUGCUAUAAUUGUCAGCUAAGUGGCGCACGGGUGAGUAAUGUAUAGGUAAUAUGCCUCUUACUAAGGGAUAACAAAUGGAAACGUUUGCUAAUACCUUAUACUCCUUAUUAACAGAAGUUAAUAAGGGAAAGAUUUAUUGGUAAGAGAUUAGCCUGUAUUGUAUCAGUUAGUUGGUGGGGUAAUGGCUUACCAAGACUAUGACACAUAACUGGUUUGAGAGGAUGACCGGUCACACUGGAACUGAGACACGGUCCAGACUCCUACGGGAGGCAGCAGUGGGGAAUAUUGCACAAUGGACGAAAGUCUGAUGCAGCAACGCCGCGUGGAGGAUGACACAUUUCGGUGCGUAAACUCCUUUUAUAUGAGAAGAUAAUGACGGUAUUAUAUGAAUAAGCACCGGCUAACUCCGUGCCAGCAGCCGCGGUAA
rnacentral:rRNA from 1 species